UCGCUUGUGGACUGCAAUUGGUCAGAUUACCGUCUCUGAACUCGGCGGCCAUUUCAGAGCCGUGAAAUUUGACACCUCUGCGUCACUAGAGGGGGAGAGGGGGUUCUUGUACGCUGUACAUUGGGGGCUGUAGUUUGUGGACUCGGUGUUUUGAAGGCGAGUUUCCCUUACGGAAAGGAUACUGCACACGCGGCUCGGAUAUUAUCAAUCUAUGAUAAUCAUAUUACAAGUUAUAUAUGGUGAAGAACGUUCCGCGGCGCCGUGGAGAGGAAUGAACGCGCGUCUGAUAGCUGCCGGUUAGCAAAUUAGCUCCGCUCUGGACCAGGGAUGAUGCAAUGUUGUCAUGGAGAGAUGCUCUGGAUACAGGAGUGAGCUCAUGAGCCUGAAAUGAAGACGGACCCCA